rnacentral:misc_RNA from 1 species
UGGUUCUGGCAUCGAUGAAGAACGCAGCGAAAUGCGAUAAGUAAUGUGAAUUGCAGAAUUCAGUGAAUCAUCGAAUCUUUGAACGCACAUUGCGCCCAUUAGUAUUCUAGUGGGCAUGCCUGUUCGAGCGUCAUUUCAACCCUUAAUGUCACAUGUUAGUGUAAACACUAUUCAAACAUUUCCCUUGGGAAUCUACUUAAUAUGGGGGGGCCUUAAGUCACUAGGUCUUCCUCUGUAGUUCCUAAAAUAUCGCGCGGGACUGCCGUCUCUUCUAAACGUAGUAAAAUCUUUAUCUCGUUUCGUAAGGUAAGACGCAUAGUUCUUGAUGUGACGACUAUUUUUUUAUUGGUUGACCUCGGAUCAGGUAGGAAUACCCGCUGA